rnacentral:rRNA from 1 species
UAUGGUAAUCCAGCAGCCGCGGUAAUACGGAAGGUCCGGGCGUUAUCCGGAUUUAUUGGGUUUAAAGGGAGCGUAGGCCGGAGAUUAAGCGUGUUGUGAAAUGUAGACGCUCAACGUCUGCACUGCAGCGCGAACUGGUUUUCUUGAGUACGCACAAAGUGGGCGGAAUUCGUGGUGUAGCGGUGAAAUGCUUAGAUAUCACGAAGAACUCCGAUUGCGAAGGCAGCUCACUGGAGCGCAACUGACGCUGAAGCUCGAAAGUGCGGGUAUCGAACAGG